GGGCAUGGUCACGGGGGGGACCGUAGAAGUCAGGAUCUGUGUGAUAUAGCAGUUAUUACUGAGACUGGGUGGAAAGAUGACAUACUCUGUAGAGAUGAAAUUACUCAACUUAAAUUAAAAAGGUGAAUUUAAAUAGAAAAAUAAACAAACAGAAUCACGUUCUUAGUAUUGCCAAUGUCUUAUUUUAGAGAAAACAGCAGAGGUGGGGUAACAGCAGAUUCACGGUGGGGACUGUAAAAGUCAAGAUAUGUAUAAUUUCAGUUGAGACCCCGUUUGUGACUGAGACCCCGUUGGUCCCCAAUACACUUUUGUGUUUCUGGGGGUGGUCACGGUAGUUACGAGAGAACACAAAAAGUUACGAGAGAAAUACACAUUAACUGUUUGUUAUCUCAUAAGCGGCGUGGUGCCGACUCCUUUUGACCUUUUGAAUAUUAUUAUUUCAUUAUUAAUUAUUGAACAAUAACGGUGUGUCAGCUUCCUAGUUGGUGAGGAUUAAUUUGUUAUUACAAAUAUACAAGUUAAUGUAUAUUUGUGUGCCAUGGCUUCAGACUAACUCAUGGGCGCAACCAAUUCAACUGAGCGACCCCUCCCGAAGUGGUACAGCCCUAGUCAGCCAUGUGCGAUCGGUGAGAGAAAGACGUAACAGCUUAUAACAACAUUGAUCUCUCAUGCUGGCAAUAAGAUAGUGACACACUGUUACGGUGUCCAACAAACGUAAAAUCAGCAGCCUUUGGACUACCAAACAUAAAGGCAGAAGACAGAAUUCUUGGGGAAAACAAAGUUUUAUGGUUGACCAUGCUCGUUGACCAUGCUCGUGAGGCCUGUCCUUUGUGGCUCAAGCCUUCAUGAGGAGAGAGAAGUCCACCUGAAGAGACAGACUCUUGAGGAGGAGCAGCUCUGGACCUCCGGAUUGACCGCACGCUGACCAUCUACGGCAUCAGCCAGGACGAUGACGCCAUCUACCAGUGCAUCGCCGAGAACAGCGCAGGCCAGCGCCCGCCUCACCGUGCUGUGGGCCGACGGGCUCCCCGGGGCCCCCACAAUGGUGCGGGCCCAGGCGUUGUCGCCCGGCGCCAUCCAGGUGUCCUGGAAGGAGCCGGAGCACAACACACAGGACAUCAUCGGCUACGUGCUGCACAUCCGGCGGUCCUCAGGUAUCAACAAGACAGAUAACAUGGAUCCUGGGAGUAUGCCAUGCUUCAUUAACCCGGAAAAGCAUAGAGCAAGUAACACUGAAAUACUUUGGGUUAAAAUAUACACAGUUCAAACAGGGCCUUCUUGGAGCUUUCAAUCCACUCUGAUCCAAAGUGAUUUACAGCCAUCAGGAUAAUGUCAUCCUGAGGCACAGUCUUCAGUUUGACAGCAAGGAAACUUAACAGUUCAUCUUCCAUGAUAGUUUUGCCAUCAAUAGCGGUGUAGAUCUCAGGUUUAAUCCUUUGUUUGAUAAGACGCCGUGCGGCUGUGUCAUCAUCGGCGGCCACACACAUACACACACACACACACACCAAACAUGUGCAUAGCACACACGCACACACGCACACGUAUAUGUCCACACACACACGUAUAUGUCCACACACACACACACACACACACACACACACACACACACACACACACACACACACACACACACACACGCACACGCAUAUAUAAAACAAUAUAAAACAUUUAAGAAGGAAUGCAAAUGAGGCAUUAUCAAUUAUAAUACAAACAUAAUUAAAACACAUACAAGCUUCGGGUCCAAUGUUUCCAGAACUAUGAUGAGUAUAUCUUGUGUCACUCUGAGAGUUGUUAAUAAUGUUUGUUUUACGCACAUCGGCCUCAUAGGUGUUGUCGUCCCUCCUCCAAGCUUGGGGGGAGAUGGGCCUCCCCGGGUCCCCAAGCUUGACGGACAUCCGUUCAGCCGUGGCCACAUACAACUUUGACUCAGAGAUUGGCAGGAGGGACCUCUUUGUCUGCCUGGCACAGCAGGAGCCCUCAUCCGAUUCCUCCCCCGUUCCUGCUCCUGCUGGCUCCUCCUCCCCUGCUCCUGCUGCUGCUGGCUCCUCCUCCCCUGCUCCUCCUCCCCUGCUCCUGCUGCUGCUGGCUCCUCCUCCCCUGCUCCUGCUCCUGCUCCUGUUGGCUCCUCCUCCCCUGCUCCUGCUGGCUCCUGUGUGUUGUCAGGCCUGUCCUUUGUGGCUCCAGCCUUCAUGAGGAGAGAGAUGUCCGGCCAGGUGAGAGUCUGCUCACCUGAAGAGACAGACUCUUGAGGAGGAGCAGCUCUGGACCUCCGGAUUGACCGCACGCUGACCAUGUACUGCAUCAGCCAGGACGAUGACACAACAACACAACACACAGGACAUCAUCGGCUACGUGCUGCACAUCCGGCGGUCCUCAGGUGUUGUCGUCCCUCCUCCAAGCUUGGGGGGAGAUGGGCCUCCCCGGGUCCCCAAGCUUGACGGACAUCCGUUCAGCCGUGGCCACAUACAACUUUGACUCAGAGAUUGGCAGGAGGGACCUCUUUGUCUGCCUGGCACAGCAGGAGCCCUCAUCCGAUUCCUCCCCCGUUCCUGCUCCUGCUGGCUCCUCCUCCCCUGCUCCUGCUGCUGCUGGCUCCUCCUCCCCUGCUCCUCCUCCCCUGCUCCUGCUGCUGCUGGCUCCUCCUCCCCUGCUCCUGCUCCUGCUUGGCUCCUCCUCCCCUGCUCCUGCUGGCUCCUGUGUGUUGUCAGGCCUGUCCUUUGUGGCUCCAGCCUUCAUGAGGAGAGAGAUGUCCGGCCAGGUGAGAGUCUGCUCACCUGAAGAGACAGACUCUUGAGGAGGAGCAGCUCUGGACCUCCGGAUUGACCGCACGCUGACCAUGUACUGCAUCAGCCAGGACGAUGACACAACAACACAACACACAGGACAUCAUCGGCUACGUGCUGCACAUCCGGCGGUCCUCAGGUGUUGUCGUCCCUCCUCCAAGCUUGGGGGGAGAUGGGCCUCCCCGGGUCCCCAAGCUUGACGGACAUCCGUUCAGCCGUGGCCACAUACAACUUUGACUCAGAGAUUGGCAGGAGGGACCUCUUUGUCUGCCUGGCACAGCAGGAGCCCUCAUCCGAUUCCUCCCCCGUUCCUGCUCCUGCUGGCUCCUCCU